GUCGUAACAAGGUUUCCGUAGGUGAACUGCGGAAGGAUCAUUACCGAGUGUAGGGUUCCUAGCGAGCCCAACCUCCCACCCGUGUUUACUGUACCUUAGUUGCUUCGGCGGGCCCGCCAUUCAUGGCCGCCGGGGGCUCUCAGCCCCGGGCCCGCGCCCGCCGGAGACACCACGAACUCUGUCUGAUCUAGUGAAGUCUGAGUUGAUUGUAUCGCAAUCAGUUAAAACUUUCAACAAUGGAUCUCUUGGUUCCGGCAUCGAUGAAGAACGCAGCGAAAUGCGAUAACUAGUGUGAAUUGCAGAAUUCCGUGAAUCAUCGAGUCUUUGAACGCACAUUGCGCCCCCUGGUAUUCCGGGGGGCAUGCCUGUCCGAGCGUCAUUGCUGCCCAUCAAGCACGGCUUGUGUGUUGGGUCGUCGUCCCCUCUCCGGGGGGGACGGGCCCCAAAGGCAGCGGCGGCACCGCGUCCGAUCCUCGAGCGUAUGGGGCUUUGUCACCCGCUCUGUAGGCCCGGCCGGCGCUUGCCGAACGCAAAUCAAUCUUUUUCCAGGUGACUCGGAUCAGUAGGAACCCGCUGAC
rnacentral:rRNA from 1 species